rfam:Kandleria vitulina DSM 20405 Scaffold1, whole genome shotgun sequence.
GAUCGCAACUCUGGAGAAGUCCGAUACUCGGGUGCCGAAGGGGCAAUAUACGCAAGUAUAGAAUCUCUCAGGCAAAAGGACAGAGAACAUGCU